rnacentral:lncRNA from 1 species
AUGAUGAAAAAAAAGGGAAUGAGGAGAAGCACCUGCUCUCUGUUCCCUGGGCCUUUUAGAAUGCAUGGAGUUGUUCCUUUGGACACACACACGUGAAUCUACAAGAAGGGAGAUGUUGUAGACAUCAAGGGAAUGGGUACUGUUCAAAAAGGAAUACCUCACAAAUGUUACCAUGGCAAAGCUGGAAGUCUACAGUGCUACCCAGCAUGCUAUUGGCAUUUCUGUAAACAAACAAUAUUCUAGCCAAGAGAAUUACUGUAUAUGUUGAGCAUAUGAAGUACUUAAAGAGCCAAGAUAGUUUCCUAAACGCGGAAGGAAAACGAUCAGAAAACGAAGGAACCCAAAGAGAAACGUACCUGGGUUCCGCUGAAGCACCAGCCUGCUCUACGCAGAGAAGCACACUUAGUGAACCAACAGAAGAGGGCCUGAGCUGCUGGAACCUGUUCCCUAUGAAUUUAUG